UCUCACAAACUCUCUCAACUCCCCUUAAAUCCGUUUCUCUCUCACUUUCUGCAGAGAUCAUUCCCUGCUCCACUCACUCUCCACUACCACUGCCACUCACAACCCACUAACUCUCCACUCCCAACAAACUCUCCAACGUCUCUCUUCCCUCUCUGACCAGCUCACACUCUCUCUACUCAUUAAAAACCCUCAUCGCCUCUCUCAAUAUCUCAUCGUCCUUCAUAAUCUCACUCACAAUCACUCUCUCACACUCCCAAAAACCACCCACGAAAUCCAGCCGCCACUUCAAUCAUAUCACCAUCAACCUCCUUCUUCAAAAACCCAACCAAGCCUUCGCCUUUCCACCGCUACACUCUCACAAACCCUCUCCGCACCACCUCCUUCGCACAAAUCACCUUCAUCGUUCAUCUUCCUUAACCUUCCACCACCGUCGCUCACCGCAUCACUUCUCCACCAUUCACCGCCGCCAUCGCCACUAAACCGUCUCCACUACCUUCAAAACCCACGCCCACCACACCUGCCGCCACCAACGAAACUCUCACGCUCUCACUCUCAAAAACCCUCGCAGCCACUUUCGUCUUCAUCUCCAAAUCGCAACGAACUCGCAACCGUGCCUUCGGUGUGAGCCACCACACGAAACCCUCUUCAUCAAACAACAUCGCUGCCGGCAUCACAACAACACAAUCGGUUUUGUUUUGUUGCAGAUAUGGUUCUAUUGGCUUUGAUUUUUUGGGGGUGCUGACAACAUCGGUUCAAAGACAUCACCAGCUCGUCAAGUUGUUGACACCAACAAACGAUUCCAAGUUGCUGCUGCUAUGGCUUAAUUCUACUACAGCUGUUAUUAUUACGUAACCAAUGUCAUUACUGCCGCAUCUUGUGAGGAAUAACGUGUUGGAUCCCAUUUGCAGAAUUAUGAGGAAAGGUUGUAGUGAAUUUCUCGAAGUGUUAUGGCUAUUGCAGUGUAGUUUCUUUAAAUCAAGUACCAUCGCAUAUAUUAAACUGAGUUUUAAUGAUAUUUUUUGAGUUGCAUUGUAUUUAUCCCAUAUGCCUUUCCAACGGAUGCUGCUUGGAUUGAACUUUGUUUCUUAGAAUUUGUGUGAAUUCAAUUAAGCUUUCUAUGUUAAUAAGUUUUUGUUUA